GACGAACGCUGGCGGCGUGCCUAAUACAUGCAAGUCGAACGCAGUGGGGACGGGUGAGUAACACGUGGGUAACCUCCCAUCAGAGGGGAUAAAACUUGGAAACAGGUGCUAAACCGAUACUGAUGGAUGGACCCGCGGUGCAUUAGCUAGUGGGUGAGGUAACGGCUCACCAAGGCAAGGAUGCAUAGCCGGCCUAGGGGGUGGACCGGCCACACUGGGACGGGGAAACGGCCCAGAUUCCUACGGGAGGCAGCAGGGGGGAAUUUUCGGCAUGGACGAAAGUCUGACCGAGCAAUGCCGCGUGAGUGAAGAAGGUUUUCGGAUCGUAAAACUCUGUUGGUAGAGAAGCGGUAUCUAACCAGAAAGCAACGGCUAACUACGUGCCAGCAGCCGCGGUAAUUC
rnacentral:rRNA from 1 species